AAUAACCAAACACAAUACUAGGGUUUAGAGUAAGAUUUACAAUUUUUCUUACAUCUCCACCACCAGGAGCCCAAGUAUCAUAUACACCACCAAACCAUAAAGCUUUGAACACUAAUAAAAAUGCACCAGCACCCAAAAGGAUUAAAUGAAUACCUAAAAUGGUAGUCAUUUUGUUUUUAUCCUUCCA
rnacentral:antisense_RNA from 17 species